CGCUAGCCCUGAUGGAAACGGCAUCCUUUUGUGGUAGUCCCGAAGCCUCGGGACGCCACAAAAGAUAUAGUGAACAGCAGGAUUAGCU
rfam:Flavobacterium plurextorum strain CCTG 60112 WGS0045_contig_13, whole genome shotgun sequence.